rnacentral:ncRNA from 1 species
CAACCUGGAUCACCAGCUAAGGCCCCUAAAUGACUGCUCAGUGAUAAAGGAGGUAGGGGUGCAAAGACAGCCAGGAGGUUUGCCUAGAAGCAACCACCCUUGAAAAAGUGCGUAAUAGCUCACUAAUCGAGCGCACUUGCACCAAAGAUGAAUUGGGCUAAGCGAUCUGUUGAAGCUAUGGGAUGUCAAAAUGCAUCGAUAGGGGAGCGUUCCGCCUUAGAGGGAAGCACCUGCACGAGUAGUGGUGGAAGAGGCGGAAGCGGGAAUGUCGGCUUUUUUAAGGCAAACAUUGGUGAGAAUCCAAUGCCCUGAAAAUCGCUCUGUGGGGGUUCCUCCGCAAGGUUCAUCCACGGAGGGUGAGUUAGGGCCUAAGAUUAGGCCGAAAGGUGUAGUCGAUGGACAAGAGGUGAAUAUUCCAGUACUACCUCUUGUUGGUCCCGAGGGACGGAGGAGGCUAGGUUAGCCGAAAAAUGGUUA